UACGGAGGAUCCAAGCGUUCUCCGGAUUUAUUGGGUUUAAAGGGUGCGUAGGCGGAAUUGUAAGUCAGUGGUGAAAGCCCUUCGCUUAACGAAGGAACUGCCAUUGAUACUGCAAAUCUUGAGUACAUUUGAUGAGGGCGGAAUGUGUCAUGUAGCGGCGAAAUGCUUAGAUAUGACACAGAACACCGAUUGCGAAGGCAGCUCUCAAAACUGUAACUGACGCUGAGGCACGAAAGCGUGGGUAUCAAACAGG
rnacentral:rRNA from 1 species